GACGCAGUAACUCGGUGGUAGGGCUUCCGCCUCGUAAGCGGGAGACCCGGGUUCGAUUCCCGGCCGCUUUC
rnacentral:tRNA from 1 species